GACGAACGCUGGCGGCGUGCUUAACACAUGCAAGUCGAACGGAAAGGCCUUUUCGGAGGUACUCGAGUGGCGAACGGGUGAGUAACACGUGGGUGAUCUGCCCUGCACUCUGGGAUAAGCCUGGGAAACUGGGUCUAAUACCGGAUAGGACCGCACUUUAGUGUGUGUGGUGGAAAGUUUUUUCGGUGUAGGAUGAGCCCGCGGCCUAUCAGCUUGUUGGUGGGGUAAUGGCCUACCAAGGCGGCGACGGGUAGCCGGACUGAGAGGUUGGUCGGCCACAUUGGGACUGAGAUACGGCCCAGACUCCUACGGGAGGCAGCAGUGGGCAAUAUUGCACAAUGGGCGCAAGCCUGAUGCAGCGACGCCGCGUGGGGGAUGACGGCCUUCGGGUUGUAAACUCCUUUCGCCAGGGACGAAGCGUUUUGUGACGGUACCUGGAGAAGAAGCACCGGCUAACUACGUG
rnacentral:rRNA from 1 species